rnacentral:rRNA from 1 species
UACGGAGGGUGCGAGCGUUGUCCGGAAUCAUUGGGCGUAAAGGGUGCGUAGGUGGCCCCGGUCAGUCCGUGGUGAAAGCGCGGGCUCAACCCCGCGUCGGCCAUGGAUACUGCUGGGCUGGAGCACUGUAGAGGCAGGCGGAAUUCCGGGUGUAGCGGUGGAAUGCGUAGAGAUCCGGAAGAACACCGGUGGCGAAGGCGGCCUGCUGGGCAGUUGCUGACACUGGAGGCGCGACAGCGUGGGGAGCAAACAGG